rnacentral:rRNA from 1 species
CCAGAAAGGGACGGCUAANUACGUGCCAGCAGCCGCGGUAAUACGUAGGUCCCGAGCGUUNUCCGGAUUUAUUGGGCGUAAAGGGAGCGCAGGCGGUCAGGAAAGUNUGGAGUACAAGGCUAUGGCUCAACCAUAGUGUGCUCUGGAAACUNUCUGACUUGAGUGCAGAAGGGGAGAGUGGAAUUCCAUGUGUAGCGGUGAAAUGCGUAGAUAUAUGGAGGANCACCAGUGGCGAAAGCGGCUCUCUGGUCUGUCACUGACGCUGAGGCUCGAAAGCGUGGGUAGCGAACAGGAUUAGAUACCCUGGUAGUCCACGCCGUAAACGAUGAGUGCUAGGUGUUAGGCCCUUUCCGGGGCUUAGUGCCGGAGCUAACGCAAUAAGCACUCCGCCUGGGGAGUACGACCGCAAGGUUGAAACUCAAAGGAAUUGACGGGGGCCCGCACAAGCGGUGGAGCAUGUGGUUUAAUUCGAAGCAACGCGAAGAACCUUACCAGGUCUUGACAUCCCGAUGCUAUUCUUAGAGAUAGGAAGUUACUUCGGUACAUCGGAGACAGGUGGUGCAUGGUUGUCGUCAGCUCGUGUCGUGAGAUGUUGGGUUAAGUCCCGCAACGAGCGCAACCCUUAUUGUUAGUUGCCAUCAUUAAGUUGGGCACUCUAGCGAGACUGCCGGUAAUAAACCGGAGGAAGGUGGGGAUGACGUCAAAUCAUCAUGCCCCUUAUGACCUGGGCUACACACGUGCUACAAUGGUCGGUACAACGAGUUGCGAGCCGGUGACGGCAAGCUAAUCUCUGAAAGCCGAUCUCAGUUCGGAUUGGAGGCUGCAACUCGCCUCCAUGAAGUCGGAAUCGCUAGUAAUCGCGGAUCAGCACGCCGCGGUGAAUACGUUCCCGGGCCUUGUACACACCGCCCGUCACACCACGAGAGUUUGUAACACCCGAAGUCGGUGAGGUAACCUUUUA